CGCUAUUAGAUGAGCCUAUGUCGGAUUAGCUAGUUGGUGGAGGUAAGGACUCACCAAGGCGACGAUCCGUAGCUGGUCUGAGAGGAUGAUCAGCCACACUGGGACUGAGACACGGCCCAGACUCCUACGGGAGGCAGCAGUGGGGAAUAUUGGACAAUGGGCGCAAGCCUGAUCCAGCCAUGCCGCGUGUGUGAAGAAGGCCUUAGGGUUGUAAAGCACUUUCAUUGGGGAGAAAGGCUGUUUGGUUAAUACCCAAGCAGAUUGAUGUUACCCAAAGAAGAAGGACCGGCUAACUCCGUGCCAGCAGCCGCGGUAAUACGGAGGGUCCAAGCGUUAAUCGGAAUUACUGGGCGUAAAGCGCGCGUAGGCGGUUAAUUAAGCGAGAUGUGAAAUCCCUGGGCUCAACCUAGGAAUUGCGUUUCGAACUGAUUAGCUAGAGUGCAGUAGAGGGUGGUGGAAUUUCCGGUGUAGCGGUGAAAUGCGUAGAGAUCGGAAGGAACAUCAGUGGCG
rnacentral:rRNA from 1 species